UAUUAAAUUUCCCAUUCUCUUUUUAUUAAGGCUGAGUUCACACUUGAGUUAUUUGAUCAGUUAUUUCCAUCAGUUAUUGUGAGCCAAAACCAGUAGUGAAGCCUACACAGCGAUAAGGUAUAAUGGGAAAAUGUCCUCCUGUUCUUUAUUAUUUUUUUUUGACCUGCACCUGGUUUUGGCUCACAAUAGCUGAUGGAAAUAACUGAACAAAUAACGGAAGUAUGAACUCA